UGUCUCUUUGAAGGUGGGGGGCACAACAAGGUUUCCUUGUCCACUCCAGCCUUCUCCCAGUAAGAUCAUGAAAUCACCUAUUGGGAGAGGUGGUGAAUGAAUUCUCAUCCCAGGUGCCCUGGUUAAUGCCUAAGGAAAGUGGAUUACAAGGGGUUCCCAGUCUUCACUGGAAAGAUCAUAUUAACUAUAUCUUUCAUUCACUUGAGUAUGAAAAUCUGAACUGCUAUAUAAGAUCAUCAGUGAAAGCUUGCUACGUGUUUGUAUGUGUGUAUAGUGUGCUUUUUAGAUAGCUGCAAGGUCUGAUGGAGAUUGAUUUGCACAGCUUUGCCGCUAAAUCACCCAUUCUACCACCUAUGGUGCAGAGUCCCUCACCGCAUCAUUAAUCUCAACUACUGUACUGUACAGGAACUGGACUCCUAGAAACAGGUCGUCUGCCAAAGGAGAUGGCCUUAGGCUAACACAUAGGAUGUUUCUACCUAGUCAACCAAGCUGUUUACUUGAGGAAAAAACAACAACUCCCUCCUCCCAUACCUCCCACAGGCAGGCUCAUGAUCUAGCUGGGGAAAGAGGACAUACGCAUAAAAGGUAAAUAACAUAGAAGAAAUCAUGUCUUCCUAUUUCAAUGCUCAAGGGAUUCUUGCCAUCACUGAAAAUAGCAAAUAUGUUUGACAAGGAAAAGGAGGAAAAGGCUUCUUAACUGAACAGAGAUCUGCUUGUUUUAUAUCAGCUUCUCCUGCAAAGUUUCCUUGACUGAAACAACCUGCAGGCAAAAUGUUUUGCCAAUCGGCCCUCAAAACCCAUAUGCUGGCUCCAGAGCACAGGUGUUCCCUCCAAGUAUUUGCCAAGUCACCAGUCAGAAUGGACAGAUUUUCUUUUCAAAAGGAAGAGGGCUGCCAAAGUCAAACAGUGAACUGUCUGGAUUAUUCAAGAAAGAGCCAAAUUACUUAUUAUUCAAAAAUGUCCUUUGGGAUUCCAAUGACAAAGUUCAACCAAGCUCAACUUUUAUUAUAUUUUUUGCAUGAUGACAUUUUUGUUUGGUCCUGAAACUAGUUUAGAGGACCACAUUCCUCUCCAUACAUUCACAUUGAUUGCAAUUACAAAAGUGCAUAAUAGAGAAUUACUGUGGUAUAGCAGCUAAAAUUCUGACCUUGGAAUCAGAGAGUUCUGGGUUCAAGUCCUACUUUUUGACAUAACCUGACUGUAUGUCAGCUAUGGUAUGUUAUUCCAUUUUUAAGUGUUC